GCAUAUCAAUAAGCGGAGGAAAAGAAACCAACAGGGAUUGCCUUAGUAACGGCGAGUGAAGCGGCAACAGCUCAAAUUUGAAAUCUGGCGCCUUUGGCGUCCGAGUUGUAAUUUGCAGAGGAUGCUUCGGCGUUGGCGCCGCCCAAAGUUCCUUGGAACGGGACGUCGCAGAGGGUGAGAGCCCCGUGUUCGGGCGGAUGCCUUCGCCGUGUGAAGCUCCUUCGACGAGUCGAGUUGUUUGGGAAUGCAGCUCAAAACGGGAGGUAAAUUUCUUCCAAAGCUAAAUACCGGCCGGAGACCGAUAGUGCACAAGUAGAGUGAUCGAAAGAUGAAAAGCACUUUGGAAAGAGAGUCAAACAGCGCGUGAAAUUGUUGAAAGGGAAGCGCUUGCGGUCAGAACUUGGCCGCCGUUGCUCGGGGAGGUCUCGCGCCUCCCUCGCUCUUCGGCGGCUGGGCCAGCAUCGGUUCGGGCGGCUCGAGAAAGGCCGCGGGAACGUAGCUCCCUCCGGGGAGUGUUAUAGCCCGCGGCGCAAUAGGGCCCGCCUGGACCGAGGUCUGCGCAUCUGCUCGGAUGCUGGCGUAAUGGCCCCAAGCGGCCCGUCUUGAAACACGGACC
rnacentral:rRNA from 1 species